CUGCCCGCCGCAAGACGGGGAGAGGAAAGUCCGGGCUCCGCAGAGCAGGAUGACGGCUAACGGCCGUACGCCGUGAGGCGAGGAACAGGGCCACAGAGACGAGCGUAUUAAGUUACGGUGAAACGCGGCAACCUCCAUCCGGAGCAAGACCAAAUAGGGGGACGAUGGCGUGGCUCGCGCCGUUCCCGGGUAGGUUGCUUGAGCGCAUGAGCAAUCAUNNNN
rfam:Methylophilales bacterium RIFCSPHIGHO2_02_FTLL_57_10 rifcsphigho2_02_scaffold_17492, whole genome shotgun sequence.